rnacentral:lncRNA from 1 species
GAUUUCCUUGUGAUUCCUCGUGAUUUUCCUCAUGUUCUUCGUGUUGUUCAAAUCCACCUCCAAUUCGUGAAGAUUCGGCCACCCAAGGAGGUCCUACAUCAUGAUGGGCUCUUCCUUUGUUUCCUUGAUCAUAAUCGAUAGAGGUCCAAGAGAAACCAACAUCUUCUUGACGUGAUAGACGCAAGUUCAAACAUCUCUAGGAGAUGCAAUCCCAACACCAUAUUGGAGGGCAUUUCUAAGUCCACAACUAAGAAGAUGCUCCAUUGCGUACGAUUAUUUCAUGUGGUCCCUAUGGAGAUAGAGAAAUCAGAGUACCCCUUCGGUUGAUAUAUUCUUCCUUCUAGGGGCAUCACCACCGGCCCAAUUCUUGCGGGUCGAAUUCCCAUCCUUCAGAG